ACUAGCAGAGAAGAGAAUUCUGGGAAGUGGAAGGCUGAGUCAGAGAAGACACUGCCAGACGCCAGCGGCCGCCAUGACAAGGGAGAUAGAAGAUACUGGUAAGCCGCGAGCCACCGUAGCAAGAUUCAUCCUUCAAUCUGCUACAAUAUGAUGUUUUGACUGAAACACAUCAUGAAAAAUCCAGCCACAAACAACUACAAACCCUCUGAAAGAUUUUCAGAAGCCUCCAGGUGUCUUCAGAAGAUUCUCUGAGAAUCACUACUUCAAAAUAAAUAGUCUAAGGUAUAUGUACAGUAUGGUAUAAAGUUUCAGAGGUUAAGAGGUUUCAGAGGUCCUGAGCUCUAUUCCCAUCAACAUGGAGGCUCACAAUCAACUACACUGAGAACAUUGUAUACAUAAUAAAUAAAUCUUUUUUAAAAAAUUAUGGAAAGUGAAACUGCCAGGCCAUAAAGAUAUAUAUUACAUAAUAUAUAUGUAUCUUUCAUUCUAUUACAUAUUAGGUUUUCUCCAAAGUUGUUGCCCCCUUCUACAUCUCCACAAGCAGCAUACAACAACGUCUAGCAUUGUUAUACUUUUAAAAUGCUGCCUGUUUGGUGACAGUUUUGAUUAAAAGUGAUACUGCACUGA